AAAGAAAGAGGGAGGCAGGACGAACACAUGCAAGUCGAACGAGACCUUCGGGUCUAGUGGCGCACGGGUGCGUAACGCGUGGGAACCUGCCCUUAGGUUCGGAAUAACUCCCCGAAAGGGGUGCUAAUACCGGAUAAUGUCUUCGGACCAAAGAUUUAUCGCCUUUGGAUGGGCCCGCGUUGGAUUAGCUAGUUGGUAGGGUAAAAGCCUACCAAGGCGACGAUCCAUAGCUGGUCUGAGAGGAUGAUCAGCCACACUGGGACUGAGACACGGCCCAGACUCCUACGGGAGGCAGCAGUGGGGAAUAUUGGACAAUGGGCGAAAGCCUGAUCCAGCAAUGCCGCGUGAGUGAUGAAGGCCUUAGGGUUGUAAAGCUCUUUUACCCGGGAUGAUAAUGACAGUACCGGGAGAAUAAGCUCCGGCUAACUCCGUG
rnacentral:rRNA from 1 species